UACAGAGGGGGCAAGCGUUGUUCGGAAUUACUGGGCGUAAAGGGCGCGUAGGCUGUUUGCUAAGUUGGAUGUGAAAACUCUGGGCUUAACCCAGAGCCUGCAUCCAAAACUGGCAGGCUGGAGUUUUGGAGGGGGAAGCGGAAUUCCUGGUGUAGCAGUGAAAUGCGUAGAUAUCAGGAGGAACACCGGUGGCGAAGGCGGCUUCCUGGACAAAAACUGACGCUGAGGCGCGAAAGCUAGGGGAGCAAACAGG
rnacentral:rRNA from 1 species